rnacentral:rRNA from 1 species
UACGUAGGGUGCAAGCGUUGUCCGGAAUCAUUGGGCGUAAAGAGCGUGUAGGCGGCUCGAUCAGUCCGCUGUGAAAGUCCAGGGCUCAACCCUGGAAAGCCGGUGGAUACUGUCGGGCUAGAGUACGGAAGAGGCGAGUGGAAUUCCUGGUGUAGCGGUGGAAUGCGCAGAUAUCAGGAGGAACACCAAUAGCGAAGGCAGCUCGCUGGGACGUCACUGACGCUGAGGCGCGAAAGCGUGGGGAGCGAACAGG